ensembl:ncRNA F46F3.18 ncRNA
GUCCAAAUGAAAAGAACAUCAUUGUUUUGUUCGCUACAAGGAGAAAACUAGAAGCGAAUUGGAGCUUUUGCUCCCGCACAUUUCAAUUGUUUGAAGUGGGAACAAGAAGAGUGCACUUUCUAUUGGAAAUGUGCUCA